UACGUAGGGAGCAAGCGUUGUCCGGAAUCAUUGGGCGUAAAGCGCGCGUAGGCGGCCCCGUAAGUCCGCUGUGAAAGUCAAAGGCUCAACCUUUGAAAGCCGGUGGAUACUGUGGGGCUAGAGUCCGGAAGAGGCGAGUGGAAUUCCUGGUGUAGCGGUGGAAUGCGCAGAUAUCAGGAGGAACACCAAUAGCGAAGGCAGCUCGCUGGGACGGUACUGACGCUAAGGCGCGAAAGCGUGGGGAGCGAACAGG
rnacentral:rRNA from 1 species